GCGGCGCAGCGCCUCCCGCCCGCCCCGGAGCGGAGCGGAGCGGGGGGAUCCCGCCGCGGGGGCGCCUCGGCCUGGCUCCCGCAGCCGGGGGACCGACCAGGCGUCGGGCCGCUCCCGGCGGGGACGAGCCUCCCCGGCCCUCGAGGCCGCGGCCCGCGCUGCGCUCCGCGGCGGGAGCGGGGGAGCCCGGUGCGGUUCAGGUCCCACUUUAAAAAGUGUAGAGCCCAUCUGAAGAAGAUUCAGUGAAGGGAAGCAUGGAUGACGAAAGCUACAGAACGGCUUUUUGGUGAGGAACCAUGAAGUUUGGAACUUUUCAUCCUGGCAGAGUUAGCAAGAGAUGUAUAAAAUCGUAAGUUACUGAAAAGGUAGGACAAAGACUGAUUUCCUUGACAUCUUCUUCCAUAUAAAAUGUAGGGACACCAGAAAUUAGCUGGCAACAGGUUCAAAACAGCCAAGAGAAGUAGUUAGUGAUAUGACAUAAAGUUAAACUGUGGGACUCUGCUACAAAACAUGGAUGCUAGAAGUUUACAUGGGUUCAAGGGGAGACUAGACAGAUUCAUGAAAGAAUUGCCUAUAAAAUACAGUAUAACCUCUGGCUCAGAAAGUCUUUAAUCAAUUCAUGUUGCCAAUUUCUAGAUCUGUCCUUAACUAGGAAGCACAAUGUAUGAUGCAAGGUUUCAGGGUCAGGUGGAACAUACCUAUCACCUGUAGCUUGUCUCUCCAACACCUUUGCACUUCCCUGACCCUGCCACCUGGAGUGCAGUAGCCCAUGCUCCGCAUCACGCAUAACUGCACGCAACUCGGCUGAUUUAUUUCAGUAGCUAAGGGAUGCCAAAUGCUCGGGGAACUCUGACUCACUUCUCCCAGAAGAACUCUGUCUCAAGACUUUGAUAGAGGAUUCACUUCCUACUCGUUUUCACUCUCAUCUGGGGAUUCUCUUUACAUAAACGGAGUCCUCAGGAAUCGUACAUUUCCAGUUUCCUACAAAUUCCUGGCUGCCUUCUGAGUGAUCCAGCCAGUUGCAGCACUUCCAUAAAGUGAGCCCUAUGCAGCCAGAAAGCUGUACUACUGCAAUGAAGCCACUGAACUACCAACAUAACUAAAAAGACAAAGAUUCGUCUUCCUUUACUGCUGGAUAUACAUUCUUCAUAUUUCAGACACUGAGAUCCACAGUACCUGUGAUAUGGGAACUCAGAAGCAUGAGAAACUCAUGGGCAAAGACAGCAGCUGCCACAAAGACCUUCUCUUUUCAUGAUUUCCAGUACCUUUCUCUUCCAGACAGAUACUUUCAUAGAAGAAAUGAAUUGAAAACUAAGGCACAAAUCACAUUACCACUGAAAACAAGUACACAGUUUGCAUAGUUUGGCUGUUAGCCUCUGAUGGCUCAGCACCAGGCUACUACAGCUUCUGACCAGCAUGGUGUGUGGGCAGCAUGAGCUCACGUGUGUCAGCAGUGAUGGCAGAGCAGCCCCUCUCUGUGGUUAGAUUUAUGCAAACACGGAAAGCUCCAGUAAGAUGACCAGUCUUUCCUCACAGAGACUCUUGCAGGAUCAGGUUUUAGAGUUUGUAAGUCCUGGGUUAAGCCUUCAAGAAUGUAAAGGUUAUGAAACUAGCUGUGUAUUUAGUAAAACAGGAUGAAAUUGAUAUUUCUUGCCAUUUUUAAGUAAAUAUUUGCUCAAGAAAUAACCGUAUUUCAACACUGUGAGAAUUUAAGGCCCAAUUUAAGUUUUGCAUUCUGCACAGUUAAAAAACAGAAGUGUCAGCCUUACCUCUAAACUGACCCUGUCUGGCUUCUGAACAAUUGCAUCUACCAUAAAAAAAUUUGUAAGUAUUUUUGAGCAGUGGAUUUUUUUUUGAAGGUUAGUGCCACAGCUGUCAAAUAGCAGUAAUAAAAUGUAGGUUUAAAGUUUUUUAUUA